ensembl:misc_RNA Metazoa_SRP Metazoan signal recognition particle RNA
GCUGGGCAUGGUGGCUCAUGCCUAUAAUCCCAGCUACAUGGGAGGCUGAGGCAGGAGGGUCACUUGAGCCCAGGAAUUCCAGGCUACAGUGAGCUGUGAUCAUACCACUGUACUCCAGCCUGGGCGACAGAGUGAGACUUUACCUCAA